rnacentral:rRNA from 1 species
AGCUUGCUAGGAGGCGUCGAGCGGCGGACGGGUGAGUAACGCGUGAGAAUCUACCCAUGAGUGGGGGACAACCCGGGGAAACUCGGGCUAAUACCGCAUACGCCCUACGGGGUAAAGCAGGGGACCUUCGGGCCUUGCGCUGAUGGAUGAGCUCGCGUCGGAUUAGCUUGUUGGUGAGGUAAAGGCUCACCAAGGCGACGAUCCGUAGCUGGUCUGAGAGGAUGAUCAGCCACACCGGGACUGAGACACGGCCCGGACUCCUACGGGAGGCAGCAGUGGGGAAUCUUGGACAAUGGGGGCAACCCUGAUCCAGCCAUGCCGCGUGUGUGAAGAAGGCCUUCGGGUUGUAAAGCACUUUCAGCAGGGAGGAAGGCUUACCCCUAAUACGGGUGAGUACUUGACGUUACCUGCAGAAGAAGCACCGGCUAAUUUCGUGCCAGCAGCCGCGGUAAUACGAAAGGUGCAAGCGUUAAUCGGAAUUACUGGGCGUAAAGCGCGCGUAGGCGGUGUGUUAAGUCGGAUGUGAAAGCCCAGGGCUCAACCUUGGAAUUGCAUCCGAUACUGGCACGCUAGAGUGCAGUAGAGGGAGGUGGAAUUUCCGGUGUAGCGGUGAAAUGCGUAGAGAUCGGAAGGAACACCAGUGGCGAAGG